rnacentral:tRNA from 1 species
ACACCGUGUCGGUGGGGAAGACCACGAGCUCGCCGCUCUUGGCCGCCUCGACAGCGGCGGCGACGCCGCGGUCCCGGUCCGCGACGGUGGC